AGCGAACGCUGGCGGCAGGCCUAACACAUGCAAGUCGAGCGGACCCUUCGGGGUUAGUGGCGGACGGGUGAGUAACACGUGGGAACGUGCCUUUAGGUUCGGAAUAGCUCCUGGAAACGGGUGGUAAUGCCGAAUGUGCCCUUCGGGGGAAAGAUUUAUCGCCUUUAGAGCGGCCCGCGUCUGAUUAGCUAGUCGGUGAGGUAAUGGCUCACCAAGGCGACGAUCAGUAGCUGGUCUGAGAGGAUGACCAGCCACAUUGGGACUGAGACACGGCCCAAACUCCUACGGGAGGCAGCAGUGGGGAAUCUUGCGCAAUGGGCGAAAGCCUGACGCAGCCAUGCCGCGUGAAUGAUGAAGGUCUUAGGAUUGUAAAAUUCUUUCACCGGGGACGAUAAUGACGGUACCCGGAGAAGAAGCCCCGGCUAACUUCGUGCCAGCAGCCGCGGUAACAC
rnacentral:rRNA from 1 species